rnacentral:lncRNA from 1 species
AUGAUUCCCACUUAAAAUCCAAAGUACUCCCAGGGAUUACUAUUUAUGUGUUGCUUUGCUUGUCAUGAUUGUCCUGUCAUUUGGCUAGCUGUCUACUCAGUCCUUUCGUAAGAGCAAAUUAACUAUACGUCCUUCGAUUCAAGUAUAGACAAAAUAGUAGUAUGGUUCUUUUGUUAAUACAUAUGCAAAACCCAUGGAAGCAUAACUAAACAUAUAAUAAAAGCCUAUAAGGUUCAAAAUAACCCAUAAUUUGAUUAAUAUAUAGAGACUGGAAACUGAAGUACUCUGAAUAACAUAACAUCUGCAAGUAAGAACAGAAGAUCUUAAUCAGUUUUGGCUUCCAAAAUCACAUAAUUAAAUAUGUAAGAUCUAGCGAAAAGGAACCAGCAUCAUGACUUGACUGCAUGCCUUGAGUACUCGCUCAAGGUGCCCCUACUGGUCUCGUUUUGGGCCAAAAGAAGAAUAGAAGAUGUUCAGGCGGUAGCAUAGGCUGUCAUGCUCAUCAGGGCCAAGUGUUGAAUGCUAAUAGUGCUUCAUGGCCUGGCUCCACCAAGUCUUAACGCCUGCAGUGGCAAAGGUGAAUAAUCCUCUCCGUUAUUGAAAAAUAUGUGAUGAGGACUCAAGUCAAUAGCAUCAUGUCUGCCCGAAAAGAAGUGUCCAUCGUAUCUGCCACUACUUUUUCCUGAAGAUGCCACUACCUAUUGUGAAGUUUAAUAUCAUUGGACCAAAACCUAUUUCAAAUUGCAAAAACAGAAUGCCGACAUAAACCAAUGAUAUUCAACUACUAACAAUCACAAGUAAAAAAAGAGGAAUGCAUGAAUAUGGAAACAUCUGCGCGAUUGAGUACAAUCCAAACAAAACCUACAUAUGUAUACAUAGCUAGCCAUAUGGAGUUGUAAACCAAGACAGAGGCCACCCAAGGCAGAACAUCGGAUAGUUACAAAGGAACAUAAAAAACACUAAAGAUAGAAAAUAGUAAAGACGAAGGAAGCUUGUACAAAUACACAAAAGCCCAUGACUUCCGAAACACCGAUCAAGAAGCGUCAAAAUUAGUACACUGACCAACCUACAUGCAUUGUUAAACCUGAGGUAGGCAGCAUCAAUCUAUUCUUCCAAGAACAAGAGGGUAAUGUACUUUAAGAAAAAGGCUAGUGUACUUUAAGAAAAUCGACAAUGGGACCAUGCAGUAUAAAUAAAUGGUAUGGUCGCAACUCUUCCUUCUCUCUAGCUCUAAUUCUGAGCACAACACAAUGAUCCACCCCUGUUUUAAACAGUAUACUGAAAUCUGAUUUUAGUGGGCAGCAUGUACGUAUAGACAACCUAGCCACUCCAACUUCAAAAGAAUCAAGUUCCAACUCCACAACACAUAUGACCAUUACAAAACCACUUUUCGGUACCACCAUUCUGGCCUUACCGUCAUGUGGCAACCUAACUGAUCCUCAUUUUUUUAGAAAAAACAACUACCCUACCGACCCUUCAUAGGCACAACUCAAUUAACUCGGUGGUCAGCCAAGCAUUUUGUGACUGCUGCAAUCUUCAAGUAUAUAAUGUAGCCAACUUAUUUUUUGAUACUAAGAGAUAUAAAAACAAGCUAGAGUAGCCAAGGUUUAGAUGUUGUACCUGUCAGCAUAUCUGCACUCUAUUUGGAAGAGCGUCGGAUGGAUCCAGCCAUCUUUGGUCAGAGAUGCACCAAAGUCUGACCUGACAGCCCCUUUUCUUCUCCUGUGGCCUCCUCGAAUAUUAAAAAUAUUGCAUAUUAAAUUUCUCUUUUACAAAUGGAAAGCAUCAGGAAAGCUCGAUGGGAAUUGAAUAACUUCCUUGAAAUAAAUAAGUGACAACUAAAUGAGGCACA